AUCGCUUCUCGGCCUAUUGGCUAAGAUCAAGUGUAGUAUCUGUUCUUAUCAGUUUAAUAUCUGAUAUAUUCUCUAUUGGAGAAUUAUAUAUUAAAUGAAUUUUUAGAACUGGGAGAUGGAUUAGGAGCUUGCUCUGUCUGUUCCAUGCAUUGACCUGGUAUUGCACUACUUCCAGGAUCAGUGCACUUUCC